rnacentral:rRNA from 1 species
CGUAGGUGGCAAGCGUUGUCCGGAUUUAUUGGGUUUAAAGGGUGCGUAGGCGGUCCUAUAAGUCAGUGCUGAAAUAUCCCGGCUUAACCGGGAGGUGGCAUUGAUACUGUAAGACUUGAGUAAAGUUGAGGUUGGCGGAAUUGACGGUGUAGCGGUGAAAUGCUUAGAUAUCGUCAAGAACACCUAUUGCGAAGGCAGCUAACUAAGCUUUAACUGACGCUGAGGCACGAAAGUGUGGGGAUCAAACAGGAUUAGAUACCCUGGUAGUCCACACUGUAAACGUUGAUUACUCGCUGUUGGCGAUACACAGCCAGCGGCUUAGCGCAAGCGAUAAGUAAUCCACCUGGGGAGUACGCCGGCAACGGUG